AUGACUUUUGUUAGAACUCCUCUUCUUCUUCUUCUCCUCCUCUCCCCCCUUUCUCUCCCUCUACCUCCCCCUCUCUCUCCCUCUCUCUCUCGCUCUCACUCUGCAGUCUGCCGCGAGGCUGUCCGUCUUUCACUGCGGAUACCGCGAGGGGAGGCCGAGGAAGACACCGAGAGGAGGAAGAGGAGAACCGGAUGGUCGUGAGGACGGGAAGUCACGUGCCAAAGAAAUAAGUCUGAUUUGCAAGUGAGUUUUGUUUGUAGACUUUAGUCUGUUUCAAAGUGUGGUAGGUUGUUUCACAGGAAUUUGUCUAUGCAUAUUACAAAUACGGACAACUCAGAAAAAAGUAGAACAUGCAACAAUUUUCUAGUUCCUAUUAACUCCACACACACAGAUUUUGUUUUUUCAAACUACCAGCCUUCAGCAGACAUUGCUUGAGGCAAUCCGAUUUACCUUCAGAGUCACCGUAGGCUUCAUACAGCUUUGUUCACAUAUGCAACAUUGGCCCCAACACUCAAAUCUUCAGCGCUGCAGACCUGAUUGGCGGUAAUCAGCGUGCAUAAUCUCCUGAUCUCCUACCUGAUCUCCUCUCAGUACAAACCCUUGCGUGGUGACUUGGCAUUUAUGCGUUUCUACUUGUUGCACUACAACAUCCGUUCAGCACCUUGUCACCUGUUUACAAAUUGCCGUCGCCCUUUUGUUGGACUUGGUUAAUAAAUGCUUUUAUUUAUUAAGUAUACUUGCGUGUCUCACGGUUUAAGAGUUCGGCUGUGACAAACACGACGUGUUGGCGUUCCUCUUUAACAGUUGCUGGUAUAAUGCACCAUGAAGCAAACGCAUCCCCAACAUAAAAGUACUAACAAUAAUCUUUAUAUAGACAACGUUGACCCCAGUCUUCCCCUUUAAUCGACGUGAACAUGCACCCACUCACAAAAAUCAAACCAGCGCCUUCACCCCCCCUGCAGCAUUUCCCCUCUUAAACUGGGUGGCGACCUGAGGAUCUUUAUCUUUCCAUGAACCUCUUGUGAAAAAUGACUAAGUGCUAUAAGGAUCUGGCUGAGGUGGAUAGUUCCUCAGGUCGCCAC
ensembl:lncRNA